CCUACGGGUGGCAGCAGUGGGGAAUAUUGGACAAUGGGGGGAACCCUGAUCCAGCCAUGCCGCGUGUGUGAAGAAGGCCCUCGGGUUGUAAAGCACCUUCAGUGAGGAAGAACGCCUGGUGGUUAAUACCCAUCAGGAAAGACAUCACUCACAGAAGAAGCACCGGCUAACUCCGUGCCAGCAGCCGCGGUAAUACGGAGGGUGCGAGCGUUAAUCGGAAUUACUGGGCGUAAAGCGCGCGUAGGUGGCUUGAUAAGCCGGUUGUGAAAGCCCCGGGCUCAACCUGGGAACGGCAUCCGGAACUGUCAAGCUAGAGUGCAGGAGAGGAAGGUAGAAUUCCCGGUGUAGCGGUGAAAUGCGUAGAGAUCGGGAGGAAUACCAGUGGCGAAGGCGGCCUUCUGGACUGACACUGACACUGAGGUGCGAAAGCGUGGGUAGCAAACAGGAUUAGAUACCCGAGUAGUC
rnacentral:rRNA from 1 species